GGGGUUUCACCAUGUUGGCCAGGAUGGUCUUGAUCUCCUAACCUCUUGAUCUGCCCUCCUUGGCCUCCCAAAGUGCUGCGAUUACAGGCAUUAGCCACCGCACUGGCCUAAUUUCUCUUUUCUCUGCAUUGAACUAGAAAAACAUCGUUCUCUUUUUCGUAAUGUUCCAUAGUUACAAAAGCUAUAACAUAAGGUCUUUUUCUUCAUUAUGUUUUCUGACAUAUCUGAAAAUAAGCAGUGAUCCCAGGUAGAUAAUCAUAUUAACCAUAAGAGACCAACGUUUGUGAUAUUUAUUACAUGCUUUUUUCAGAGAUGGAAAAUAAUGUCCUGCAAGAUGAGGAUUGAACAGUUAAAACAAACAAUAUGUAAAGGAAAUGAAGAAAUGGAGAAAAAUUCUGAAGGCCUUCUCAAAACCAAGGAAAAGAAUCAGAAGCUUUACAGUCGAGCACAACGGCACCAAGAGAAAAAGGAGAAGAUUCAGAGGCAUAAUCGCAAACUUGGUGACCUGGUAGAAAAAAAGACCAUUGACUUAAGAAGUCAUUAUGAGCGUCUGGCAAAUCUUCGACGAUCCCAUAUAUUAGAGCUCACCUCUGUCAUUUUUCCAAUCGAGGAAGUAAAGACGGGUGUGAGAGACCCCGCAGAUGUGUCUUCAGAGAGUGACAGUGCCAUGACCUCCAGCACUGUGAGCAAGCUUGCUGAAGCCCGGAGGACAACUUACCUCUCAGGACGAUGGGUCUGUGACGAUCACAACGGAGACACCAGCAUUAGCAUUACAGGGCCUUGGAUUAGCCUCCCUAACAAUGGGGACUACUCUGCCUACUACAGCUGGGUGGAGGAGAAGAAAACAACCCAGGGGCCUGACAUGGAGCAGAGUAACCCUGCCUACACCAUCAGUGCUGCGCUGUGCUAUGCAACUCAGCUGGUCAACAUUCUGUCUCAUAUACUUGAUGUAAAUCUUCCCAAAAAGCUCUGCAACAGUGAAUUUUGUGGCGAAAAUCUAAGCAAGCAGAAAUUUACUCGAGCAGUGAAGAAACUGAAUGCAAAUAUUCUUUACCUUUGUUUUUCUCAGGUAUGAAAAAUAGGUUGUGAACUAAUUUUUACUUUGUUAAAUAAUUGAAAAUAUUAACCAAUUCUUUAAUUUUUUUUAGCAUGUAAAUUUAGAUCAAUUACAACCACUGCAUACCCUCAGGAAUCUAAUGUACCUGGUCAGUCCAAGCUCUGAACACCUAGGCAGGUCAGGGCCCUUUGAAGUACGAGCAGACCUUGAGGAGUCCAUGGAAUUUGUGGAUCCCGGAGUUGCUGGAGAAUCAGAUGAGAGCGGAGAUGAGCGCGUCAGCGAUGAAGAAACCGACCUGGGCACAGACUGGGAGAACUUGCCUAGUCCCCGGUUUUGUGAUAUCCCUUCCCAGUCUGUGGAAGUCUCCCAGAGUCAGAGCACCCAGGCGUCCCCACCCAUCGCGAGCAGCAGUGCAGGUGGGAUGAUCUCCUCUGCAGCAGCCUCGGUGACCUCCUGGUUUAAAGCUUACACUGGACACCGUUAAUGAGCAUGGGCCAAAACAUGCCAAAUCUGCAUCAAGAAAGUUCUUCUCCCACUACACUCUAGUAAACAUUUUCUGUUUAAGUUAAGAUAGUGUCUGGAACAAAGAGGUUAAAGUGUUGUUUUGUUUUGUUUUUUUAAGCAGGGAGACAAACAUUUCUAUUUGUCAAGUGGCCUGUGAUGGUGACCAACAUGCUUAUGAUAAUAGGACAGGGGUCGAAGGUCUUUCUACCCAGACCAGUGUUGGUGGAAGGAGGACCUGUGCGUGUGGCCAGUUCUGCCAAGGAAGCAGUUGAUUUGGGUUCCCUCUGGGCCCGGGCCACCGGGUCCGCAGAUAUGGGUCAGUGUGCUGGUCCUUGCGGUGCUGAGACUGUUCCUGACACUUUAAGUUAAGUUUUAGAGGUUGGUUGAAUCACAAGAGGUGAUUCUUGAUUAUUAGGACAUGAAAGAUAAAAGCUCUUUAAUAAGAGUUUUUCUGCCAUUGUUUUUUGUAUGAGAACCAGCAGGCAAUUUGAAAUUUCUAAUUUGGUCCUUUGAUUUUGUUUGGGGGGGGUGAGUUACACGUAUUUUAUUCAUGCUGCUCUGUCGUAGUUUGUCCGACGUUCCUGUUUUUCUUUCCCCCACACACCAAAGAAAAUGAAAGUAUUUUUCUUUAGGACCUACAUCCAUAAAUGGAAGAAAUCCUGGCUGCAAUAAUGUCUAGAGAGUUUUUAACUAUUUUCUUGUAUUCUGAGGGGAAUUAAGCUUAUUCUUACCUAGUUGAUUGAAUUCCUGCCAUCCACACUAUGAGCAUUUUGAAAUUGAACUUAUAUCUAUCUUUUCUGGGUGAAAAUAAGUCAUGAAGGUCAUUCCCUUAUGUAAGCUCAAUGCCUGCCUGGGCACAGGGGAAAAGCCACUUAGUUAAGUGGCCUCUGGUCAUUCUUGUGGUGUCCACUUUCUUUCUAUGGGAUUGAGUAGGUGGCAGGUGUUUUCAGGGGAAACCAUCCUACUUGUUUCCCCGAACUCUUUGUUGCUCUGAGGACACAGCUUUGCUCAGAAAUGCAGCGCAGAUCCUUACAGCUGAUGCUACUCUGCUCUGUUCUGGGGAAAGCACAAUAUAAAGAAUUUCCCAGCCGGGCGCGGUGGCUCACGCCUGUAAUCCCAGCACUUUGGGAGGCCAAGGCGGGCGGAUCACUUGAGGUCAGGAGUUUGAGAGCAUCCUGGCUAACGUGGUGAAACCCUGUUUCUACUAAAAAUACAAAAAAUUACCAGGUGUGGUGGCGCACGCCUGUAAUCCCAGCUACUCGGGAGGCUGCGGCAGGAGAAUCACUUGAACCGGGAGGCAGAGGUUGCAGUGAGCCGAGAUUGUGCCAUUGCACUCCAGCCUGGGCAACAAGAGCGAAACUCCGUCUCAAAAAAAAAAAAGAAUUUCCCUCACCAGGAGAUCAUUUUCAGCUCAUGUGUCUUGUCAUUCUUUUAGUGACACUCUUACAAGAAAACUAUAAUGAGAGAGGCAUUAUGUACAAAUAUGUAAGUAGUUUUUUAUUUUUAAUAACUGCAAAAAAAUCCUAUGUAACAACUACCAAAAGAAAUCCUAUGAGAGAGUCCUAACAGGCAUUAUUACUAUAUCUUAUGUGAUUGGCAUGAUAGCACCUCUGAUAAAUCAUUCAGAGGUUUGCCAUGCCCCACCUUCUUUUCUCAUCAUAAUAAUUGUAGUUGAUACUUUGCCUCCAAGUCCGAGGUGCUAUAUAGCCUUUGCUAAUGGUAUAUUUGGUGUUUGGUAUAGUUUUGGGUAGAGUUGCAGAAGGGAGUUUAUUUCUACCCGGUAGUCACAAAUUCCUUGGCUCUAUGAAUUUUCCAUGAAAGGAGGAAGUAGGCUUUUCUCGUUGUGGGUGGUCUUUUUUUUUUUUGGAGACGGAGUCUCGCUCAGCUGCCCAGGCUGGAGUGCAGUGGCACCAUCUCCGCUCACUGCAACCACCAUCUCCUGGGUUCAAGCGAUUCUCCCAUCUCAACCUCCCGAGUAGCUGGGAUUAUAGGCACCUGCCAUCAUGCCCAGCUAAUUUUUGUAUUUUAGUAAAGACGGGGUUUUCACCAUGUUGGCCAGGCUGGUCUUGAACUCCUGACUUCAGGUGAUCUGCUUGCCUAGGCCUCCUAAAGUGCUAGGAUUACAGGUGUGAGCCACCGCGCCCGGCCCCUUAUGGGUUCUUCUACACUGCUGGGAUCUCUGUUUUAAGUGCUCAGCUUCAUGAUUGAUUGCUGGGCUUCCAUUUUCCCAUCCAGUUCUGGAGUUUGUAGAGAGUGAAGAUGGUAGACUUGAACAGAUAACAAAUAAACUUAACGAUCUUGUAAGAGUUGUCUAGCUACUUAAAACCCUCAGAAGUAAGAGCUUAGUCUCACGAGUUGUAAGAGUGGGAUUUGGAGCUUGGUGGUGGAGAUUGACUUCAGCUGAGAGAUGCACAACAGUCAUGGUUUUCUUAAGCCUCUUAGGAAACCAUGAAUGUGAGAUGAAGCUAAAGAAUAGAAUCCAGAGAUCACAAACUCAUCUAGAGUACUUCCACAAAAUUUACAAAGAUGUGGGAACUUUAUGGAUAGGAUAUAUUUUGUUUGUUUGUUGUUGUUAAUAUCAACUAGAGGCACUUUACGUAGGGUUAAGUGAUCGAACCCUUUUGUGGUUUUGAACACCAACAACAUACUGGCUUACACUGCUGAAAUAUUUUGGGUUUCAUUAUUUUGCACUGGAUCCACCCUGUAAAUACUCUUAAGUAUACAUUUCAACCACUGUUUUUUCUACUCUUUUUGCUGCUCAUUAAAAUCUUUCAUGUAGGUGCCAGAACCAUAUGUAAACAGCUUUUUUAAAAAUUGAAGCUGGUAUUUUGUUUAAACAAAAAGCCAUAGAACUUGGUCAUGUUUUCCAUUUUAAAAUGAUUUAUUGAAACAAAGUAAUACUAAUAAAAACCCACAGGCACCAAACAGGCUGCUUAAAAUGGUCUGUUAAAGACAUUUUUUGGUUAUGGAAUAUAACUAAGAAAAGUUUUGCACAUCUGUAAGGGGGAAAAACAGUAUAUCACCAUUGGGUAGAGUGGACGGGACUCAUGUAAGGACUCACUUAAUUUGGGGAAGAGCAUUCAGUGGCAUGCUGUUAGAGGACUAGUGUCCGAGAAUCUCCUCACAGUAUCAUGUUGCAGGAAUUCCCCAUUGCUCUGCAACUUCCAAACCAGUUUGAGUCAUACAAAUGUUUUCUAAACUUUUAUUGUAUUACUGCAAUAAAUCUUUUAACAGU
rnacentral:sRNA from 1 species